rnacentral:rRNA from 1 species
CCUACGGGUGGCAGCAGUAGGGAAUCUUCGGCAAUGGGGGCAACCCUGACCGAGCAACGCCGCGUGAGUGAAGAAGGUUUUCGGAUCGUAAAACUCUGUUGUUAGAGAAGAACAAGGAUGAGAGUAAAAUGUUCAUCCCUUGACGGUAUCUAACCAGAAAGCCACGGCUAACUACGUGCCAGCAGCCGCGGUAAUACGUAGGUCCCGAGCGUUGUCCGGAUUUAUUGGGCGUAAAGCGAGCGCAGGCGGUUUAAUAAGUCUGAAGUUAAAGGCAGUGGCUUAACCAUUGUUCGCUUUGGAAACUGUUAAACUUGAGUGCAGAAGGGGAGAGUGGAAUUCCAUGUGUAGCGGUGAAAUGCGUAGAUAUAUGGAGGAACACCGGUGGCGAAAGCGGCUCUCUGGUCUGUAACUGACGCUGAGGCUCGAAAGCGUGGGGA